ACCGGUGACGAUGGCGGUGAGGUCACACCUGUUACCAUUCCGAACACAGAAGUUAAGCUCAUUUGCGCCUACGAUACUUGGACGGAGACGUCUUGGAAAAAUGGGUGUUGCCGGUU
rnacentral:rRNA from 1 species